UACGGAGGGGGCUAGCGUUGUUCGGAAUUACUGGGCGUAAAGCGCGCGUAGGCGGAUUGGAAAGUCAGAGGUGAAAUCCCAGGGCUCAACCUUGGAACUGCCUUUGAAACUCCCAGUCUGGAGUUCGAGAGAGGUGAGUGGAAUUCCGAGUGUAGAGGUGAAAUUCGUAGAUAUUCGGAGGAACACCAGUGGCGAAGGCGGCUCACUGGCUCGAUACUGACGCUGAGGUGCGAAAGCGUGGGGAGCAAACAGG
rnacentral:rRNA from 1 species